ACCCCGGAAGGGGAGUGAAAUAGAUCCUGAAACCGUGUGCAUACAAACAGUAGGAGCGGACUUGUUCCGUGACUGCGUACCUUUUGUAUAAUGGGUCAGCGACUUACAUUCAGUGGCAAGGUUAACCGGAUAGGGAAGCCGUAGAGAAAUCGAGUCCGAAUAGGGCGAUCAGUCGCUGGGUGUAGACCCGAAACCAAGUGAUCUACUCAUGGCCAGGAUGAAGGUGCGGUAACACGCCCUGGAGGUCCGAACCCA
rnacentral:rRNA from 1 species